rnacentral:rRNA from 1 species
GAUGAACGCUGGCGGCGUGCCUAAUACAUGCAAGUCGAGCGAACAGACGAGGAGCUUGCUCCUCUGACGUUAGCGGCGGACGGGUGAGUAACACGUGGAUAACCUACCUAUAAGACUGGGAUAACUUCGGGAAACCGGAGCUAAUACCGGAUAAUAUAUUGAACCGCAUGGUUCAAUAGUGAAAGACGGUUUUGCUGUCACUUAUAGAUGGAUCCGCGCCGCAUUAGCUAGUUGGUAAGGUAACGGCUUACCAAGGCGACGAUGCGUAGCCGACCUGAGAGGGUGAUCGGCCACACUGGAACUGAGCCACGGUCCAGACUCCUACGGGAGGCAGCAGUAGGGAAUCUUCCGCAAUGGGCGAAAGCCUGACGGAGCAACGCCGCGUGAGUGAUGAAGGUCUUCGGAUCGUAAAACUCUGUUAUUAGGGAAGAACAAAUGUGUAAGUAACUAUGCACGUCUUGACGGUACCUAAUCAGAAAGCCCCGGCUAACUACGUG